rnacentral:rRNA from 1 species
AGCGAACGCUGGCGGCAGGCUUAACACAUGCAAGUCGAGCGGGCGUAGCAAUACGUCAGCGGCAGACGGGUGAGUAACGCGUGGGAACGUACCUUUUGGUUCGGAACAACACAGGGAAACUUGUGCUAAUACCGGAUAAGCCCUUACGGGGAAAGAUUUAUCGCCGAAAGAUCGGCCCGCGUCUGAUUAGCUAGUUGGUGAGGUAACGGCUCACCAAGGCGACGAUCAGUAGCUGGUCUGAGAGGAUGAUCAGCCACAUUGGGACUGAGACACGGCCCAAACUCCUACGGGAGGCAGCAGUGGGGAAUAUUGGACAAUGGGCGCAAGCCUGAUCCAGCCAUGCCGCGUGAGUGAUGAAGGCCCUAGGGUUGUAAAGCUCUUUUGUGCGGGAAGAUAAUGACGGUACCGCAAGAAUAAGCCCCGGCUAACUUCGUGCCAGCCGCCGCCGUAACAC